AUUCCAGCUCCAAUAGCGUAUAUUAAAGUUGUUGCAGUUAAAAAGCUCGUAGUUGGAUUUCGGGGCGGCCCGACUGGUCCGCCGCGAGGUGAGCACUGGUCGGCCGCCCUUCCUCUCGGAAGCCCCGACUGCUCUUCGUUGCAGUAGUCGGGGAGUUCGGGACGUUUACUUUGAAAAAAUUAGAGUGUUCAAGGCAGGCCUUCGCCUGAAUACAUUAGCAUGGAAUAAUGGAAGAGGACUUCGGUCCCGUUUUGUUGGUUUCUUGGACCGAAGUAAUGAUUAAGAGGGACAGUUGGGGGCAUUCGUAUUUAAUUGUCAGAGGUGAAAUUCUCGGAUUUAUGAAAGACGAACGACUGCGAAAGCAUUUGCCAAGGAUGUUUUCAUUA
rnacentral:rRNA from 1 species